rnacentral:lncRNA from 1 species
GCUUAUUUUAUCCAGGAGUUCUAGGUAAGACCACUUUUUCAAAUAUCCUCUGAACGUUGACUUAGGUGCACACACCUGUGCUUCCAUUGGCAACAAAAGCUUUGAAUGCACAGGACUUCCACGGCAUGAAAUGCAUUUACAUACAUUACAUAAGAGAGAAGCAAUGAGCAAGUCUGUUGCUGGGAGAGGCUCACAUCCUUCUCACCAAAUCAAUCUGUAACUUUCAAAUAGCUCUGCUGUAUUUCCUAGCAACAGGAGUAAACACUGUACUACAUCCAGUGCCCAAGAUUUGUAACCACGUUAAUCUGUUAGAAGCCUAGAUGUGUGACUGGAGAUGCCUCCUGUCCAUUCAAUCUGACUCCAAUGUGGUUCUGCAGCACUGGACAAAGAUGGGAGAUUGAAACAGGAGCCCCUGCGAUGGGGGAACAGAGCCAGGGAGCAGGGGUUGGACAGAACCCAGGUUUGAGAAAACAACCUUGUGAACCUUCUAUUGGAGCAGCAAUAAAGAUCUGAGCUAAGUGUCGAGGGAGGCUGAGGAGGUGGUCACUAAGUCUGUCUUAGGCAUCCCAGGGUCUCCUCAGAGUCCAAGCCUGAAGUCCACUGCAGGGGUCACCAGCCACCUGUGGCCACAUUGGAAUGUGGCCAUUCUGAAUUGAGGUAAGUAAAAAACAUACACCAAAUUUCAAAGAUGUAAUAUGGGAAAAAAAGAAUGUAAGGUACUUGGUUAAUGAUUUUUUAUAUGGAUUACAUAUGGAAAUGCUACCAUUUUGGCUAUAUUGGGUAAGAUAUAUUAUUAAAAUUGAUGUCACCUGUUCCCUUUUACUUUUUUAAGCGCGCCUGCUAUAAAAUAUGAAAUUGCCUGCAUGGCUCCCAUUCAUGGAUCCUAUUACAUUUCUAUCUGCCAGUGUAGGUUGGUGCAGUCACAAGACAAUGCUUCAGGAGAAAAUCUGGGGAGGCGGUCUCAGGGCAAGAGGGUGAGUGGGGGAAAUGCCUAUGGAAUGAGAAAGAGACAACAGGGGGACCGACCCAUCAAGGGCUACAAAGAAGGUGAAUUUGCUUUCUGAGUUGUGCUUGCCUGCCGGACUCAUUUGCAGCAAGAGAGACCAGAAUAUAAAGGCCACGAUAAUAACAUCUCAAAUAAAUUAGAAGCAGCUUGUGGUUUAUAGUGAGCAAUGCUCUACUGGGGACCAGACCAAGCAGUUACCCCUGUCUUCACUCCAUCUGUGGUUAAGUCAUUUGGUCACUGUUGCCUUCUCAUCUGCAAAGCGGGGACUGAGAUUAACUGCUUGGCCUGCAUAUCCCCCUGACUCUGUCAACUAAGUUUUCGGAAACCUGAAGCACUCUAAACAUCCUGGGGGAAGAAAGGGCUGGAGAAACAUACAAUGUUUUGUGAUCAGAGUUUUUAAGCUGAAAAGAAUGAAGAAACUUGAAUAGAAUAAAUUCUUGAUACUUCCUUUUUCAUAACACUUACCACGCUUUAUUUCGAUUAUUUAUUAGCCCCCUUCCUAGCUAGAUAUAAGCUAGCUAUAAAUACCAUGAGCUCAGGACCCACAUCUGUCUGCUCACUGCUGUGACCGCAACUUAGAGGACAGAGCCCAGAAUACAGGCCUCAAUAAAUACUGUGGAAGAGGGGUCACAUGGAGAAUUUGCAGUCAUUUUUGCUGUUGAGCAUCUGUUAAGUUAAAGUUUCCAAGUGUGCAAACUGUACUCGGAAAUGAGUAAGAAGUAGAAACUUACCUAGAGAUGAUCAAACCAGUAGUGCUGUCACUCUAAUGAUGUUAUCUGUCCCACUGUGAAAACAUUGUCACAGGUGAAGGAGGAGAGUGAGGUGAGACCUUCCCAGCCCUUGACUGCUCUUGCACUGGACACAUUCCAGGAAGCUCUUGUGGCAGAAGCAGCCACUUAACUUACUUUUAACAAGAGAAGCUGAAGGCUGAGGGAAGUCAGGACCAACAGAGGAUCCAAAUUUCAGUGGCACAAGUCUUAAGCUUCAUUUGGUUGCAUGAAUGAGUGCGGAAGCAGCAUGAAGUAGUGGUGAUACAAACCUGGGUUCUGUGUUUAAUUCUAUUCUCAGUACUUUCCCAGUGGGAGACUGUGAGUUCCCUCUCUGAACCUCGUUCUCCUCCAUGGCUUAAAACUGGACUCAUAAUGCAUGGCUUAGCUAUAAUGUACCUUUCAAAAAGGGCUGGCAUCCGGUAAACACUGAAUAAAUGGUUACAUGUCAAACACAGUAAACAUUCAACAAUGGCUAAUAUCUUCCUUCUGCAUCAGCUUUUAAAACAGAUUUUUUAACCUGGAGUCCAAGGAGUCCCAGGAAAUCCACAGACGAGAUUCAAUGGAUCCUUGAAAUCCCUAAAAUUAAAUACAAAGCGGGGAUUGAUGACCAAAGAAGGCAGCUAUAAUGUUUUAUUCUCAAGAUGAUGGUUACUCAUCUUAGAAUAAAAACAACAACAACAAAAAAUAACAGAUGAAUGGGAAGAGCCCAAUCAAAGCUUUAUUCUACUCCUCAACAACUCAGGUGAGUGUCUGGCCACUUGGCAGUCGCCAGGAGGAAGGAGCUUAGUGGCAGACAAACUGCUUCAAAUCUCUAAAUCUUUGUUUCCUCAUCUGUUAAAAAAAAAAAAAAAAAAAAAAGAUGAUAACAGUGACGCCUCCUACCUAGGGCUGCUGUGAGAACUAAAUAAGAAAGUAAUUGUAAGGCAUCUUUUAAGUACUCAAAACAGAGUGCCUCAUAAAUAUUAAUUAUUAAAUAUCCUCUCUGAUGAUAGGGGGAAAAGGAUUCCUUAUCUGGUCUCUGACCCAUAGAUUUUAGCCUGGAGAUUUACUCUGGGUCACUGAUAUUUUCCAGCCUCCUCCUUAAGGUUGUUAUUAGUGACCAAGUAAUAAGUAAGUAUAUAAACCAUUGAGAAAACUGUUGAAAAAGUGUCUGAGCAGCAGCUUCAAAGAGAAUCUGUCUUCAUGUCCCAGUAUCCUAAGAGGCAAAUGUGAAAAUCAAUUUAAAGGAAAUAGAAUAUACCUAAAGAAAGUCACCUGAAAAAAUGAAAGAUGAAUGAUUCAACACACAUUUUUCUCUCAUUUAUUUAAAAAUUUUUGAGAUACAUGGUGGGCAAGGCACUGUACUGAGCACAGGAUGUGCAAAGAUAAGGAAGUAAGUCCAGCUCUCAAGACAUUUAGUCUACAGAGGGAGACACACAUGUAUAUCCAACGCCAUACGUACCACAGGAUAAAGUGUGAUGUGGGGAGAGGCUGGGAGGGGAUGUUCAGCAGGGGCUUCUUGAAAAAGCAACACUUGAGAUGAGUUUGGAAGGAUAAGUAAAUGUUUAAUAGUUCAUAGUUUGAGAAAGAAGAAACAAUAUUCCACAGAGACAACAGCCCAUGUAAAAGCACAUGCAAUGAAGCAUUUAAGCAUGGGGAUAAUAUGGGCAGCUAGAAGAAGGCGUUGCUGAACAUACCAGCACCUACCCAUCCCCUGCACCCACAGGAGGAGGCAGGACUCACCUCAGAGAGAAUCUUGGAAUUCAUGGUAGGAGCCUGUACUUUUCUCCAGGACUAUGACAAGGUUUGGAAUGGUUCUUAGCAGGGAGUUAUAUAAUUCAAUUUUAUCUAUUCUUUAGAAAGAGCAAGCAGGCAGCGGUGAGGAGGAUGGAUUGAAAGCUGAGAGACUGAAGGCAGCAUUUGUAGAGGUGACUUGGGAAGAGUGAAACAUGAAAGGAAGUGGAGCAGGAGGUCUUGGUGACUGAUUAGGUGGAGGAAGAAAGGGAGAAGGUCAGAUCGAGAUCAUUCCCAGGUCUCUGGCUUGGAGGUGUAGUGAGAGGAUGAUAUGCCUGUCAGGGAAAACAGGUGUUAUAGUAUUUAAUAGAUAUCUGCUGUUUCUGCACGCACAGCAUCUCCUAUCUCUUCUUUUCAAUAUUUCCUUUUAAAAACUACCCCUUCCCUGCUCUCAGGUUAUAUGGUUUAGAAGAGUUUUGCUGACUAGUCUCCCAUGAGUUAAGCCUAAAGCUGCAGAUGAAAAUUUUGCCACCAUGAAGAAAAGAAGAAAUCAGAAUUGGAUUCUUUCUGAACUUUUCCUUUACAGUAGCCAGUAUAUGCCCUUUCCUACUUGAGCAAGUAUAAACUGGGUUUCUGUGAUUUGCAACCAAGUGUCCUGACAAACACAAGGAUGAAAGACAACUGUGUCUCAAUAAAGGAAAAAUAGUUUAUUUUUAUGAGUGGUGGAUUUAAAAAACCUACAUUACUGUGACAAGAGUACCUUAAAACAUUUAAGUCUACAAAAGGCACUUAGGGACUUUAUAGCAAACUCUACACUUAUAAUGAAAAGCCAGACCAGAUCAUUUUAAAAAAACGUUACUGCACGAGAUAAUGGCACAUCCACUCGUUCAAUUAACAUUUAUUGAGUGUCUUCAGGGGUUUUAGACUUGUGCAAUAAAAAUGAUAAAAACGUAUUCUUUGGUUUGAGCUGGUCCAUCCAAGGUCGUUCCAUAAAGAGCAGCUGUGUAUGCUGUUCAGACUAAUUGUGUGAAGCUGGAGAGGCCAGGUGUUUCUGUCUGGCCCAGCAGCUGCACUUUGCGGUAAGGGCACCACCUGAAUUUCAGUCUGGCCAUAAAAUGAGGCUGAAGAAACAGCACCUUGCAUGAGCUUUUAGGUGAAAGGCAGAACAG